rnacentral:rRNA from 1 species
CCUACGGGAGGCAGCAGUAGGGAAUAUUGCUCAAUGGGGGAAACCCUGAAGCAGCAAAGCCGCGUGGAGGAUGAAGGUUUUCGGAUUGUAAACUCCUUUUGUUAGAGAAGAUAAUGACGGUAUCUAACGAAUAAGCACCGGCUAACUCCGUGCCAGCAGCCGCGGUAAUACGGAGGGUGCAAGCGUUACUCGGAAUCACUGGGCGUAAAGGGCGCGUAGGCGGGAUAGCAAGUCAGAUGUGAAAUCCUAGGGCUUAACCAUAGAACUGCAGUUGAAACUGGUAUUCUAGAGUAUGGGAGAGGUAGGUGGAAUUCUUGGUGUAGCGGUAAAAUGCGUAGAGAUCAAGAGGAAUACUGAUUGCGAAGGCGACCUGCUAGAACAUAACUGACGCUGAUGCGCGAAAGCGUGGGGAGCAAACAGGAUUAGAUACCCCGGUAGUC